UAACACGUAAACAACCUGCCUUCAGGAUGGGGACAACAGACGGAAACGACUGCUAAUACCGAAUAAGUUCCAAGGGCCGCAUGGCCCAUGGAAGAAAAGGUGGCCUCUACCUGUAAGCUAUCGCCUGAAGAGGGGUUUGCGUCUGAUUAGCUGGUUGGAGGGGUAACGGCCCACCAAGGCGACGAUCAGUGGCCGGUCUGAGAGGAUGAACGGCCACACUGGAACUGAGACACGGUCCAGACUCCUACGGGAGGCAGCAGUGGGGAAUCUUCCGCAAUGGGCGAAAGCCUGACGGAGCAACGCCGCGUGAGUGAUGACGGCCUUCGGGUUGCAAAACUCUGUGAUCCGGGACGAAAAGGCAGAGUGCGAAGAACAAACUGCAUUGACGGUACCGGAAAAGCAAGCCACGGCUAACUACGUGCCAGCAGCCGCGGUAAUACGUAGGUGGCAAGCGUUGUCCGGAAUUAUUGGGCGUAAAGCGCGCGCAGGCGGCUUCCCAAGUCCCUCUUAAAAGUGCGGGGCUUAACCCCGUGAUGGGAAGGAAACUGGGAAGCUGGAGUAUCGGAGAGGAAAGUGGAAUUCCUAGUGUAGCGGUGAAAUGCGUAGAGAUUAGGAAGAACACCGGUGGCGAAGGCGACUUUCUGGACGAAAACUGACGCUGAGGCGCGAAAGCGUGGGGAGCAAACAGGAUUAGAUACCCUGGUAGUCCACGCCGUAAA
rnacentral:rRNA from 1 species